CGUCCUCGUAAAUUGGUUGAUAAAUAGUGACCGAUUUAAAGCGAUCGCAGAUAGCGAUUGUUGUUUGGCGUUUUUUUGUAGUGAUAUUUAGCUUGGCUUUAUAGAGAAAUGUGUCAUGCGACAAAUCCUUCUACUGUGCGAAUUAGAGAAUGUAUAAUACUUAUUCAAAUUUGGACAUGGGAACACCUCACAAAUAAUUGUACCACUAUUUUGACAGUCUAAACCAUAUGAAUCUGGCACAUCUUAUGGUUUCAGAUGUCUUGGCAGCCAUAUAAAGAGGUUGAAGGACUGCUUUCUUGAUUUUAUUUAUCUGAGAGACGCACUUCGAACUCAUUAGUACCGUUAAUUGACUUCCACAUUGUAGAAUGGCAUCAACCUGAUCGUUGCCUUUGACAGUUUAGGAUGGACCAACAUAUACCCGUUGCACCAUACUAGGAUGAUAAGUUGCAUUCAAUUGAUUUACGAGGUUAUAUUGAUAAUGGUUGGGAGCAUAAAGAUCAACCAUUCAUUCAAGCAUGGAACAACUGUCUCUCUCAUACGGUUUCAUCUCAUUCACUCCAAGCACCUUUGGGCCCUCACCCAGAAUAUAUGCAAUGGCUUGUGCAACGAACUAGACGUUAGAUUUUAUUUUGACGUGCAGAAGUUGAAGCUGUGUUCAACAUCAUCAACACGUAGAAAUGCAUCAUUCCGUUGAAGAUUAUUUAGCCUAUUUGGCAUAAUGAAUGAAGAAAUUCAUACAGAAACUCAUCCUAUGCUUCAACCUGCCCCUCUAUCUUUAGAGUUUCCUCGUGUUCAAAGACCAAAAGAACUACAGAGGCAAAUGAGACAUGAAAUGACAUCUAGACGUAUUCCAGUUGAAGCCCCGCCAGUAGAUAUUAUACCUCAAGUCCCUCCCCCUAUGAUAUAUAAUUAGUACGAAGGUUAUUGCGUUAAUAUGCUUAGCACAUUAUCUUUUGCACCACAACCUGAGUGGAGUGUACCAUCUGUAGUUAGAAAUCCCAUCGAACACUCAUUACAAUUCGAUGAUGGCAACAUAAUACAAACCACUAGUUAACCUCGUGGACUCUUAACAAAAUACUAUUCUCUCGUGUA